AUGCCGUCUGCGGAGCAGCGAUUCUUCGACGUCACGCUGCACCUGGUUGUCCUCCAUGGGAGGCUGCACGUUGUCGGCAGGGGCUUACGUACGACCCGGUGGACGCACUUCACGAACGCAAUAGGGGUGUUCACGCUCGUCGGUGAGAUGGCGAAGUCGCCAGCAGUGGUCAAGGACUUUGACGGGCACGCGUUCUUUGUUAGCGACGCCUGCUGUGACGCUUUCGCUGUUGAGGCAGCCGCUUCAGGCCGCAGGAUAAGAGAGAACCAGAUUUACUUCGUUGAUGACGAGAAGAACGUGGCGUUGCUGACCGCCCGCGGCCGCCGGCCUUUCCAGAUGCUGCAAUCCUACGACGUGCGCAACAGCUGCCUCCGAGCAUACGUACCCAGCACCGCCGUGGUGGGGACUUGGCGCUGCGUCACAGCACAGCGCUUCCCGCACAGCAGCACCAUCGGACCACCGUUGCGGGAGCCUCUGUCGGAGGCGGAGCUGCUUCUGUGGGACGUGGCCAACUGCCUGGGAGCAUGGGGCCAGCCCUCAUAUACAACGCGCGAGCAGGAAGACGGCGCAAGGGUCGCCGUGACCGUGCAGAUAUGGGUGCCCAAGACAUCAAAAAUAUCUGUGGAGGAAGAGCACUACUGGAGGUUUACAAAGUACCGGAAGUCAGCCAAGAAAGCUAAGCAGGCGGCGGCGCACGAGGCCGUUACGUUCCUGCGGAGUCGGCUCCGCAGCAUCCUGGACGACAGUCCCUGGAGCUCCGUCCCUCACUACCAUAGCCAUGUCGAUGAGGAGGAGGAAGCACCGGAAGAAGACAGCGACGACCGCGACGGUUUGUUUGGGUAUAAAUAUUGGCGGAGAGACUUGUACUAA
rnacentral:rRNA from 1 species